rnacentral:rRNA from 1 species
GAUGAACGCUGGCGGUAUGCUUAACACAUGCCAGUCGAACGGACUCUUCGGAGUUAGUGGCGGACGGGUGAGUAACGCGUGAGAAUCUGGCUUUGGGUUCGGGACAACCACUGGAAACGGUGGCUAAUACCGGAUGUGCCGAGAGGUAAAAGAGAAAUUGCCUGAAGAUGAGCUCGCGUCUGAUUAGCUAGUUGGUGAGGUAAAGGCUCACCAAGGCAGCGAUCAGUAGCUGGUCUGGGAGGAUGACCAGCCACACUGGGACUGAGACACGGCCCAGACUCCUACGGGAGGCAGCAGUGGGGAAUUUUCCGCAAUGGGCGAAAGCCUGACGGAGCAAUACCGCGUGAGGGAAGAAGGCUCUUGGGUUGUAAACCUCUUUUCUUAGGGAAGAACAAAAUGACGGUACCUAAGGAAUCAGCAUCGGCUAACUCCGUG